rnacentral:hammerhead_ribozyme from 1 species
AUCCAGCUGACGACCCUUAAAUAAAACGAAACGUGCGUCCUGGAU